rnacentral:piRNA from 1 species
UAAUACUUAGGGAAAUGACAGUUUUGU